rnacentral:rRNA from 1 species
CCAGGGGACGUGGAUAACCUCGGGAAACUGAGGGAUAAACCGCGAUAGGUCACUACUUCUGGAAUGGGUCAUGACCCAAACCUAUAUGGCCCCUGGAUUUGGACUGCGGCCGAUCAGGCUGUUGGUAGAGGUAAUGGCCCAACAAACCUGUAACCGGUACAGGGCUCUGAGAGGAGGAGCCCGGAGAUGGGCACUGAGACAAGGGCCCAGGCCCUAUGGGGACGCAGAAGGCGCGAAACCUCUGCAAUAGGCGAAAGCUUGACAGGGUUACUCUGAGUGAUUUCCGUUAAGGACGAUCUUUAUGGCACCUCUAAAAAUGGUGCAGAAUAAGGGGUGGGCAAGUCUGGUGCCAGCC